rnacentral:rRNA from 1 species
UACGGGGGGGGCAAGCGUUGUUCGGAAUUACUGGGCGUAAAGGGCUCGUAGGCGGCCAACUAAGUCAGACGUGAAAUCCCUCGGCUUAACCGGGGAACUGCGUCUGAUACUGGAUGGCUUGAGUGUGGGAGAGGGAUGCGGAAUUCCAGGUGUAGCGGUGAAAUGCGUAGAUAUCUGGAGGAACACCGGUGGCGAAGGCGGCAUCCUGGACCAUUACUGACGCUGAGGAGCGAAAGCCAGGGGAGCAAACGGGG